rnacentral:tmRNA from 1 species
GGGGGCGUACCGGUUUCGACGUAUUAAUGAUGGUUAUGUGAGCAUGUCGAGCUUUUAUUGAGUGCUCGUUAAACAAACAAUAAAAAACAAAUGCAGAAUCGUUAAGAACUGCAGGAGCUACAUUACUAGUUGCAUUGUUCGCAAUGUUUGCUGGUUUUGCAGCUUCCUUCAGACGCCGUGAAGACGAAUAUUCUUCACUGUCUGUCGCUUAAUAAAACCAUAUUCCUUUUACGUAAUAUUUCUUUAUUUCAUAGCGUAAAAGUAUAAGAAAUCGACAAAUUUGCAAUGCGCGCUUUCUGAGCAGUAAAUUUGAAAAAACAGAAAGAUAAACAUGUAGCGCAUAUGACUUGAUUUUCUACGGACAUGGGUUCAAUUCCCAUCGCCUCCACCA